UACGUAGGGUGCGAGCGUUAAUCGGAAUUACUGGGCGUAAAGCGUGCGCAGGCGGUUCGUUAUGUCCGUUGUGAAAGCCCCGGGCUCAACCUGGGAAUGGCAAUGGAAACUGGCGAGCUAGAGUGUGGCAGAGGGGGGUGGAAUUCCGCGUGUAGCAGUGAAAUGCGUAGAGAUGCGGAGGAACACCGAUGGCGAAGGCAGCCAUCUGGACCGACACUGACGCUGAGGCGCGAAAGCGUGGGGAGCAAACAGG
rnacentral:rRNA from 1 species